rnacentral:rRNA from 1 species
UUGAGUGAUAAACUCAAAAACGUAAUGAAAGUAAAGAUAUUCUUAUGAAUGUUUAUGUAUGAUAAAUGAUGCUUGUCAUUGUUUAGCAAUAUAGUCCUAUUUAAAUCAUUUAUGAUUGAGUAGAGAUAGAGUAUACAUAAUGCGACCCGAAAGAUGGUGAUCUAUGCUUGAACAGGAUAAAGCCGGGGGAAACUCUGGUGGAAGUCCGUAACGGUUCUGACGUGCAAAUCGAUCGUCUGAUUUGAGUAUAGGGGCGAAAGACUAAUCGAACCAUCUAGUAUCUGGUUCCUUCCGA